rnacentral:tRNA from 1 species
AGCGCUAUGGUGCAGUGGUUAGCACACAGGACUUUGAAUCCUGUAACCCCAGUUCGAAUCUGGGUAGCGCUA